CCGGUGGCGAAGGGCGGCCCCCCCUGGACAAAAGACUGACGCUCAGGUGCGAAAGCGUGGGGAGCAAACAGGGAUUAGAUACCCUGGUAGUCCCACGCCCGUAAACGAUGUCGACUUGGGAGGGUUGUGCCCCUUGAGGCGUGGCUUCCGGAGCUAACGCGUUAAAGUCGACCGCUGGGGAGUACGGCCGCAAAGGUUAAAACUCAAAAUGAAAUUGACGGGGGCCCGCACAAGCGGUGGAGCAUGUGGUUUAAUUCGAUGCAACGCGAAGAACCUUACCUACUCUUGACAUCCAGAGAACUUACCAGAGAUGGUUUGGUGCCUUCGGGAACUCUGAGACAGGUGCUGCAUGGCUGUCGUCAGCUCGUGUUGUGAAAUGUUGGGUUAAGUCCCGCAACGAGCGCAACCCUUAUCCUUUGUUGCCAGCGGUUAGGCCGGGAACUCAAAGGAGACUGCCAGUGAUAAACUGGAGGAAGGUGGGGAUGACGUCAAGUCAUCAUGGCCCUUACGAGUAGGGCUACACACGUGCUACAAUGGCGCAUACAAAGAGAAGCGACCUCGCGAGAGCAAGCGGACCUCAUAAAUGCGUCGUAGUCCGGAUUGGAGUCUGCAACUCGACUCCAUGAAGUCGGAAUCGCUAGUAAUAGUGGAUCAGAAUGCCACGGGAAUACGUUCCC
rnacentral:rRNA from 1 species